AAAUUUGAAAUCUGGCGCAAGCCCGAGUUGUAAUUUGUAGAGGAUGCUUCUGGCCAGCGGCCGUUCUAAGUUCCUUGGAACAGGACGUCAUAGAGGGUGAGAAUCCCGUAUGUGACCGGUGCGCAGCCUUUACGUAGCUCCUUCGACGAGUCGAGUUGUUUGGGAAUGCAGCUCUAAAUGGGAGGUAAAUUUCUUCUAAAGCUAAAUACCGGCCAGAGACCGAUAGCGCACAAGUAGAGUGAUCGAAAGAUGAAAAGCACUUUGGAAAGAGAGUUAAAAAGCACGUGAAAUUGUUGAAAGGGAAGCGCUUGCAACCAGACUUCGUAGCGAUGUUCCGCUGGUCUUCUGACCGGUCUACUCAUCGUCGCGAGGCCAACAUCGUCUGGGACCGCUGGAUAAGACCUAAGGAAUGUAGCUUCCCUCGGGAAGUGUUAUAGCCUGUGGUGAUGCAGCGCGUCUCGGGCGAGGUCCGCGCUUCGGCAAGGAUGUUGGCGUAAUGGUUGCCAGCGGCCCGUCUUGAAACACGGACCAAGGAGUCUAACAUCUAUGCGAGUGUUCGGGUGUCAAACCCCUACGCGUAAUGAAAGUGAACGGAGGUGGGAAGCGCAAGCUGCACCAUCGACCGAUCCUGAUGUCCUCGGAUGGAUUUGAGUAAGAGCAUAGCUGUUGGGACCCGAAAGAUGGUGAACUAUGCCUGAAUAGGGUGAAGCCAGAGGAAACUCUGG
rnacentral:rRNA from 2 species